GCCGGAGUGGCGGAACGGCAGACGCGCUACGUUCAGGGCGUAGUGGGCGCGAAGCCCGUGGGGGUUCAAAUCCCUCCUCCGGCACCA
rnacentral:tRNA from 1 species